AUACUCUGGUUUUUCUUCAGAUUAUAUCAAAUUUUCACCUUUUCCUAAAGAUUUAUGUGGAGAGGAACAAUUGUGAGUCUUAACCCAAUUUUUUGAGGCCUUGAAUCUUCAAGGCG
ensembl:snRNA U5 U5 spliceosomal RNA